CGGAGAUUGAGUGUGUAGCGCGCCCCGAACAGAUAAGGAGCUUGCUCCUUUGACGUUAGCGGCGGACGGGUGAGUAACACGUGGAUAACCUACCUAUAAGACUGGGAUAACUUCGGGAAACCGGAGCUAAUACCGGAUAAGAUUUUGAACCGCAUGGUUCAAUAGUGAAAGACGGCGAGACUUGCUGUCACUUAUUUUAGAUGGAUCCGCGCCGUAUUAGCUAGUUGGUAAGGUAACGGCUUACCAAGGCAACGAUACGGGUAUAGAGACGUAGCCGACCUGAGAGGGUGAUCGGCCACACUGGAACUGAGACACGGUCCAGACUCCUACGGGAGGCAGCAGUAGGGAAUCUUCCGCAAUGGGCGAAAGCCUGACGGAGCAACGCCGCGUGAGUGAUGAAGGUCUUCGGAUCGUAAAACUCUGUUAUCAGGGAAGAACAAACGUGUAAGUAACUGUGCACGUCUUGACGGUACCUGAUCAGAAAGAAG
rnacentral:rRNA from 1 species